CCGGGGGACAGUGGCGAACGGGUGAGUAACACGUGAGAAACCUGCCCUAGAGACCGGGACAACCGUUGGAAACGGCGGCUAAUACCGGAUGCCUUCACACGGUCGCAUGGCCGAGUGAAGAAAUGCUCAGGUGCUCUAGGAGGGUCUCGCGGCCUAUCAGCUAGUUGGUGAGGUAACGGCUCACCAAGGCAUCGACGGGUAGCUGGUCUGAGAGGACGAUCAGCCACACUGGGACUGAGACACGGCCCAGACUCCUACGGGAGGCAGCAGUAGGGAAUCUUGCGCAAUGGGGGCAACCCUGACGCAGCAACGCCGCGUGUGGGAUGACGGCUUUCGGGUUGUAAACCACUUUCAGUGAUGACGAAAAUGACGGUAAUCACAGAAGAAGGUCCGGCCAACUACGUGCCAGCAGCCGCGGUAACACGUAGGGACCGAGCGUUGUCCGGAUUUAUUGGGCGUAAAGAGCUCGUAGGCGGUUCUGUAAGUCGGAUGUGAAAACUCAGGGCUCAACCCUGAGACGCCAUUUGAUACUGCAGUGACUAGAGUCCGGUAGAGGAAGAUGGAAUUCCUGGUGUAGCGGUGGAAUGCGCAGAUAUCAGGAGGAACACCAACGGCGAAGGCAGUCUUCUGGGCCGGUACUGACGCUGAGGAGCGAAAGCAUGGGGAGCAAACAGGAUUAGAUACCCUGGUAGUCCAUGCCGUAAACGUUGGGCACUAGGUGUGGGGUCUUCUAACGGAUUCCGUGCCG
rnacentral:rRNA from 1 species